UACGUAGGGGGCGAGCGUUGUCCGGAAUCAUUGGGCGUAAAGGGCGCGUAGGCGGCCUGGUAAGUCGGAUGUGAAAACCUUGGGCUCAACUCAGGGCCUGCAUCCGAAACUAUCUGGCUUGAGGUCAGGAGAGGGAAAUGGAAUUCCGAGUGUAGCGGUGAAAUGCGUAGAUAUUCGGAAGAACACCAGUGGCGAAGGCGAUUUCCUGGACUGAUACUGACGCUGAGGCGCGAAAGCUAGGGGAG
rnacentral:rRNA from 1 species